UUGUUUUCGCUUUUCUAGUAGUAAGUUAGAAACUUCAACCGAGUGUUGCUAUAACUAUGGGACUACAACUAGACUUGGGACCCAGAUGCCUGCUGGAGUGAUUAACAAGCACAUGAAGGUAUUUAAUUCUUGAUUAGGAUUAUGAUGGGGUGUUUGAUUCAGGCUUGACAAUUGAAGGUGCAUCUGGUGGGUGAGUUUGGAAGAUUGCCGAAGCAAGUGAUAUGGGCAUGAUGCAAAGUGC
rnacentral:misc_RNA from 1 species